rnacentral:rRNA from 1 species
AGCGAACGCUGGCGGCAUGCUUAACACAUGCAAGUCGCACGGAUCUUUCGGGAUCAGUGGCGGACGGUUGAGUAACGCGUCGGGAUCUAUCCAUGUGUGGGGGACAACUCCGGGAAACUGGAACUAAUACCGCAUGAUACCUGAGGGUCAAACGCGCAAGUCGCCUGUGGGGUAACCUGAGUUCGAUUAGCUUGUUGGUGGGGUAAAGGCCUACCAAGGCGAUGAACGAUAUUGGGUAUGUGAGGCUGUUCAGCGACACUGGGACUGAGACACGGCACAGACUCCUACGGGAGGGAGGAGUGGGGAACAUUGGACAAUGGGAGAAAGCAUGAUCCAGCACGGCCGCGUGUGUGAAGAAGGUCUUCGGAUUGAAAAGCACUUGCGACGGGGACGAUGAUGACGGUACCCGUAGAAGAAGCCCCGGCUAACUUCGUG